CGCGCGCGCACGAGUUAAGUAAAAGAGUGGAAUGCGCGCGCCGGCCAUUGGUGUAUCGUUGCGUAAACACCGGGUUUUAAUAGUCGGCCACGAGCGAGAGAGUCCGCCGGAUGAGUACAUCUUGCUAUGAUAAAAUGGGCAUGCAUUGCCCGUUGGUUGCAUCAUACGAGAAAAGUAAGAAAUGCGGCGCGUCCUUGGAGGCUGCGAUAAUAUGGCCGCUGGAAACGAGACGCGAAAUGCGUGUUACGCCGGGCAAACCUAACCUGGCGACCGGUAAUAUUAACCGCCGAUAUUAACCAAUUACGGCUACGCCGAUGGUGUAGAGAGGUUUGAAAGAUAGGCGCCUGAUUAUACACCGUUCGGACUGCGACGCGUUAAAACACCGAUGUCACCGCGUCUGCGUUAUGUCAUCGGGCGUAUCUAAACAGGAAUAACAGGAGACCGCGGCGCCGCCAUUGUGCCACCUGCGGUCGCCCGGGUCUCGUUUCAUUGCAUUUUCUGCAUUCGACAAUUCGAAGGUAUCGAGCAUACUAGAUAAGUAAAAAAUAAACGUUAAAAAUAAAAAGAUAGAUAUUGGUCAUUUCAUAACUUCUAUAAAAAGAAUCGGCUUCAAAUCGAUUUCGAAACUUUAUCGAUUUGUAAAAAUUCGGUUUCGAAGCCAAAAAUUCUGAAAAAAUUCAUAGACGUGUACCCUAAUAGUUGACACAUUUCAGAUUUUUUUGAGAAUUUUCACUCGAACAUGAUAAGAAAAAGAAGAAUUUUCAACAAGCUAUCGAACGGUCCAUUGCAGGCGCGAUCUGCUUUAGGGUCACUUCCGACCCCGUUAUCGGCUGCGCCCUUCCGCAGCGUAUAUUUCGCAGAGUCGCAUAAACAUCCAGGACCUAAAUAAACGCACGUUUGCCAACACAACAAG